ACUGACCACCUGGCUCUUACCUGGCUCUUACCUGGCACUGACCUGGCACUGCUGUAGCUCUUCUGGGAGGCGGAGACGUGGCGUCAAGACCUCUUUUUUUUUUUUUUUUUUUUUUUUUUCCCGUCGAUUUUUGCACUUAUGUUUUCAUGACUGUGCCACGAGCAAGCCGUCAGUACUGAAGAUCUCCCAAGGGGGCCUCAUAUUCCUGUCCGAGCUGUUGAUCCUCUAACAUCACUGAUUUAAUGAUGUGCGUUGUGUAGAAAACAACCUUUUGAAAAAAAAGAAAGUUGGAGUAACUUUUUUUUCCCCCCUUAUCUUGAAAGGAAGCUGUUACCAGACCAGCAAUACAUUCCAAAUCCAUUAGAAGGAGAAAAUAGAGUCUUGUAUGAUGUCCUAUGAGCUCUUGAAGAUGAAAACUGGGAAGUGAGACAUUGCUAAGUUUAUGAUAUCACAGUACAAUGCAUUUGCAUCAAAAAGAAAAGGUUCAGCAAAGCUUUACAACUGAAAACAAUGAUCUCGUUGAACAGUCAAGUAACAGGCAGGUAACACCUUUCAGAAGUGAACCUAUGACAGUCACCGUAGAACAGUCUUCAUUUGAAGACUAUUAAACUCCAUUGAGCGAAGAAGAGGAAUGACCUCUUCCUUAUGACCAGAAUAGACUCUCUCCAUUUACACUGUAACUAAUGGGCAACUGUUGACACAGUGCCACAGAAAAAAAGACAAAAAAAAACCUAGAUGGGCAACCGAAUAUUUUUUCUAUAGUCAGAUCUAUCUUUAAAAAGCUACCAAAUACAUUGUUUAGCAAUUCCUAAUCAUCUUAGAGCAAUGUGCUUUGCAAACCUUUUACUUUCCAAAUGACUUCCAAAUGUCCAGGGCUGUAGUUUUGUCACAUCACACAUGAUAAAACAGGAACUAUUUGCUGGUUCAGUAUGGCUGACUAACCUGUACUAACAAAGUCCACAUUAAGAUCCUCCCAUGCUUUCUUUUGGCUUUAGCAGUCAAUGUUUUGAAGUGGGAGGAAAAGGGGAUUCUUUUAUGCCACUACCUAAAGACAACUUGUACAUAAAGCUAAAACACUUUGAUUUGAAGAAAAAUAAAUGCCAUGUAAGAUGGGGAAGUCUCCUGAUAGUUAUUCUGUAGUGCUGGAAGAUAAACAUAACCUAGUUCCAGUAACAAAGCAUUGUCUUUGCAUUACCUAUUGUAAAUAACACAUUUAUUUACUCAGGGCACAGGAGCAGGAUGACAUGUAUGCUUGGUACUGAAGAAAAAUGUGUUUGUGCACAUUAUUCUGGAGACUUUGUGCAAGUAUAUUUCUUAAAAAACUGUUGUGUUUCUUAGAUUCCUAUCAUAUUUUACUCUGGAAUAAACAGGACAGCUUGUAGCAUAUGCCACCAGCUUUGGUUCUGCCUGAGCAUUUUUAAAGGUGGAAACUCAAGUUAUCAAUUAGAUGGUGAAAGGAAGCAUUGAUACAUAGGUCUGAAGAUUGUUGAAGCAGUGCUGAAAUCUCUGCUUUGCACUGAUUUUCUAUGGCGUGUACUACUGUGGAUCUUACUGGAGCAAUAUUAUGCUACAGGGGAAGGUAACGCAGAAACAGGUGAUAUGCUGUGUCACACAGGAGAAAAUCUGUGCCACACAGAAGAUAGCCCUGGUAAUAUUUUAUUUGUCUGACUCUAAUUCUGCAAUUUGCCAUUUAAAUUGAAUAUUCAUUUAUAAGAUAUCAUAAGGAUGUCUCAGAGGGAAGUUCUUGAGAUCAACAGGGCAACAAGGUGACACAUCAAGUGCACCACAUUUAUUACAAUGUCAGAGUCCUUUCUUUAAUCCACCAUGAGUACUUUUCUCCCUGAUCUGGCACUUCUGUCAAUAACUCACCCAGUGUAACCAUUCCAGAAAAUAACAUGUUUUCUACUUGCAUAACAACAGAAGAAAGCACUUUCCUAGCUGAGAGGAAGGCACUUUCCUCCCUUCAAGAUACUUUCAGAACAUUCCUUUCUGCAAAUGGGAGAGGAAAGUACCUGUCCUAUACCUUCAAGCUGAAACCAUUUUUUGAGGAAUUUGGAUCUGUAUAAAUUGAGACAGGCAAGCUCAGUGUUACCCACCCACACAAGGACCGCUGUAUCUCACUUGCAACAAUGAAGAUCAAAUACUAUGAAGAAUCUUGCAGUGAUGAAGUGUCUUCAUAUUAUGAGGAUUAUCAGAAAGCAAAAAAAGUCACUUUCUCAAAUGCAAUUAGAUAUCUACAGAUGCAAGUUGGUAUUAAGUGAUAAUUUCCAAAGCAUAUGAGGCGCUUAGUUGGUUCUGGCUUUACAUCCUUAAAUGAAUACUGUGAUAACCUUCAGGUGGUGACCAAUACCUGUGAUCAAGCCAUUUCUUGGCACUAGAACUGCUUUUUUCCUUAGUCAGACUUUGCAAGUAUUUAUCCACAUGUCCCAUCAUUCCAUGGAAGAGGUAUUAGGCUGCACCAUAUGCAGCCAGCUAGGUAGACAGAGUGCUAUUUGAGGUACCAGGAACAACAGUCAGUGGAGAGUUCAUGGUGCCCAGCACCUUGAAAGACCAUAGAAGAUAAAAGCAUGAAACUCAAAUCACUACUGAAGAAGUUUUCUGCUCAGAAAAGCACCUAGUGAUUUUGUGGAUAUAUAUACUUGACUCACUUUUAAAGGCAAAACAUGAAUAUUUUUACAGUUAUGUAAAGAACAUUCAUGUUAACUACAAACCUGUUAAAUAUUCUACAUACAUUAUGGUGCUAGAGGCCAGAUGUGGCUUUUUUUUUUCCCCUCAAGGUGCCUUAAAUGUUGACCCUUAUUUCUUCACAACAUCCUAUGAGGUAGAUAAGUUCUGUAACAUCUUUUCAGAAUGGAAAACAGAGACAAAAAGAGGUAAAUUGACCUGGUUAAGGUUGUACAGCAAAUCCAGAAACCAAACUUGGGUCAUGAUCAUAGAUGUGUCUACUGCAACACAAUGCCUUACAUCCUAACUUCAUCUUCAAGGCUAAAUAAACAUCAUUCAUACACAAUGGCAAGAUACACCUAGUCCAAUACUAAGUUUUUGAUAGACUUUUGCUUCAGAAAUUACAUGAAUAGGUGCUACAAUUUUGUCACAGGACCUGGAUUCUAAAGUACACAAUCAGCACAACUCCUAUCAUCUGUGCCCCUUAUUGUUUGCAAGACCUUCAGUUAGAGCCUCUCUCUUGCCUUGUUUCCACUUCAAAAUUCUACAGUUAAUUAUUGAGAUGAAUCCAGGAGCUUUCCCAGUAGGUGUGAAGUCCUAUGCAACACCAGUCAUUUCCAAGCUGGCACUAAUAAAGCCUGUGAAACCACAUCUACCUGGAUCCAAGGGAGGAAAGAUUCUUGCCCCUGCCGGUACCACAGUGCAAGGAGUACACAACCAACAUAAUUGCUCAAGACUUCAACAGAAUCAUGACUAGCAUGGCAUCACGUUAUCCUGACCCUCAAUAAUGGUGUCUAAAUGCAUUGAGAUCUGGGAAUGAAAACAAGAUGAUGAAAAACAUUUGCAUGUUGACUUGGAAACAGCUCACCACAAGGUUGAGUCCAGACUAAAAUAUAACAGACUCACCUAAAUAAGUGACAUUGGGAAUUUCUCUGUACAGCUGCUAACU